AGUGAACGCUGGCGGCAGGCCUAAUACAUGCAAGUCGAACGGCAGCACAGCAGAGCUUGCUCUGUGGGUGGCGAGUGGCGGACGGGUGAGGAAUACGUGGGAAUCUGCCCAGUCGUGGGGGAUAACGUAGGGAAACUUACGCUAAUACCGCAUGCGCCCUUCGGGGAAAGCCGGGGACCUUCGGGCCUGGCGCGAUUGGAUGAGCCCACGUCGGAUUAGCUAGUUGGCGGGGUAAAGGCCCACCAAGGCGACGAUCCGUAGCUGGUCUGAGAGGAUGAUCAGCCACACUGGAACUGAGACACGGUCCAGACUCCUACGGGAGGCAGCAGUAGGGAAUAUUGGACAAUGGGCGCAAGCCUGAUCCAGCCAUGCCGCGUGAGUGAAGAAGG
rnacentral:rRNA from 1 species